rnacentral:rRNA from 1 species
GAAUUUUGGACAAUGGGCGGAAGCCUGCUCCCGCCAUGCCGCGUGCAGGAUGAAGCCCUUCGGGUUGUAAACUGCUUUUGUACGGAACGAAACGCUUCGGGUUACUACCCUGGAGUCAUGCCCGUACCGUAUGAAUAAGACCCGGCUAACUACCUUCCCGCAGCCGCGGUAAUACGUAGGGUACAAGCGUAAAUCGGAAGUACUGGGCGUAAGGCAUGCGCAGGCGGUUUUGUAAGGCAGAGGUGAAAUCCACGAGCUCAACCUGGGAACUGCCGUUGAGACUGCAAGGCUAGAGUACGGCAGAGGGGGGUGGAAUUCCGCGUAUAGCAGUGAAGUGCGUAGAUAUACGAAGGAAAGAAAAUGGCGAAGGCAACCCCCUGGGCCUGUACUGACGCUCAUGCACGAAAGCGUGGAAAGCAAACAG